UACGUAGGGACCAAGCGUUGUUCGGAUUUACUGGGCGUAAGGGGCGCGUAGGCGGCGCGGUAAGUCACUUGUGAAAUCUCUGAGCUUAACUCAGAACGGCCAAGUGAUACUGCAGUGCUAGAGUGUGGAAGGGGCAAUCGGAAUUCUUGGUGUAGCGGUGAAAUGCGCAGAUAUCAGGAGGAACACCGAUGGCGAAGGCAGAUCUCUGGGCCGUAACUGACGCUGAGGAGCGAAAGCAUGGGGAGCGAACAGG
rnacentral:rRNA from 1 species